AAACCGAAUGCUGAGUUAAUAAUACUGAUAGGUUGGUACAACUUGGUUAAAAUAAUAAUAUACCUACGAAUAGACUAGUCAUCAGUGAGUGAAAAUAAAAAAUCCCCAAUAUUAAUCAUAGUAAUGCUUAAAUCAUGAUUUUAAAAAUAUCUUCCUUUAACAAUAUAUUAUGUUUUAAUGAAAUAUUCAAAAUUACAAUAAACAUUUAUUAAUAGUUAGGUAUCGUAUAUUAUCUGAUCUUACUUAAUAUCAUCUUAAUCGGUU